CCUACGGGUGGCAGCAGUGAGGAAUAUUGGUCAAUGGACGAGAGCCUGAACCAGCCAAGUAGCGUGAAGGAUGACUGCCCUAUGGGUUGUAAACUUCUUUUAUAAAGGAAUAAAGUGAGGCACGUGUGCCUUUUUGUAUGUACUUUAUGAAUAAGGAUCGGCUAACUCCGUGCCAGCAGCCGCGGUAAUACGGAGGAGCCGAGCGUUAUCCGGAUUUAUUGGGUUUAAAGGGAGCGUAGGCGGGAUGUUAAGUCAGAUGUGAAAGUUUGCGGCUCAACCAUAGAAUUGCAAUUGAAACUGGUAGCCUUGAGUACAGUUGAGGCAGGCGGAAUUCGUGGUGUAGCGGUGAAAUGCUUAGAUAUCACGAAGAACCCCGAUUGCGAAGGCAGCUUGCUAAGC
rnacentral:rRNA from 1 species